rnacentral:rRNA from 1 species
GAUGAACGCUAGCGGCAGGCCUAAUACAUGCAAGUCGAACGGUGUAGCAAUACACAGUGGCGCACGGGUGCGUAACACGUAUGCAACCUACCUUACAUUGGGGGAUAGCCUUCCGAAAGGGAGAUUAAUACCGCAUAAGACAGUAACUAGGCAUCUAGUAGCUGUUAAAGAUUUAUCGAUGUAAGCUGGGCAUGCGUCCAAUUAGUUAGUUGGCGAGGUAAUGGCUCACCAAGACGAUGAUUGGUAGGGGAACUGAGAGGUCAAUCCCCCACACUGGCACUGGGAUACGGGCCAGACUCCUACGGGAGGCAGCAGUGGGGAAUAUUGGACAAUGGGCGCAAGCCUGAUCCAGCCAUGCCGCGUGAGUGAUGAAGGCCUUAGGGUUGUAAAGCUCUUUCACCGGAGAAGAUAAUGACCCUUGCGAGGGGCAUUGACGGUACUGUAUGAAUAAGCACCGGCUAACUCCGUGCCAGCAGCCGCGGUAAGAC